rfam:Citrus sinensis cultivar Ridge Pineapple sweet orange scaffold00001_contig_208, whole genome shotgun sequence.
UUUGAGGGGAAUGUUGUCUGGCUCGAGGACACUGCUUGUUGAUCCAUUAAUUUUACGUAUUCUCUCAUAGAUCUAGCAUCUGAAUGGUGGAUAACAAUAUACGGAUUCAGCUUAUUUGGCGUCGUCGGACCAGGCUUCAUUCCCCCCAAU